UACGGAGGAUGCGAGCGUUAUCCGGAAUCAUUGGGUUUAAAGGGUGCGUAGGCGGCGCGUUAAGUCAGCGGUAAAAGCCCGGGGCUCAACCCCGGCGAGCCGUUGAGACUGGCGUGCUUGAGUUGGAGAGAAGUAUGCGGAAUGCGCGGUGUAGCGGUGAAAUGCAUAGAUAUCGCGCAGAACUCCGAUUGCGAAGGCAGCAUGCCGGCUCCAGACUGACGCUGAGGCACGAAAGCGUGGGGAUCGAACAGG
rnacentral:rRNA from 1 species